AAGCAAGUUACGUAAGGGCUGUCGGUGGAUGCCUUGGGAGAAGUAGACGAUGAAGGACGUAGCAGGCUGCGAUAAGCCUCGGGUAGGUGCCAAGCAACCUUUAAUCCGGGGAUUUCCGAAUGGGGUAACCCCCCCGCCAAUUUAGGGUUGGUGUAGAAAAAUUUAGCCAAGUUAUUGAGCAAUAAUGCUUUUAGCUUGGUAGAUGAUUUUAUACGAACGUUAAAUUGGCGGGGACUGCGAUAUUGAAUAUAUAGAUUUCGCAGAGAUAACCACGUGAACUGAAACAUCUUAGUAACGUGAGGAAAAUAGAAAAAUAUUUUAUUCCCUUAGUAGUGGCGAGCGAAAAGGGAAGAGUCUAAACUUUCGUUGUGUUAAAGCCUACUGGCCUUGCAGCGAGAGGGUUAUAAGAGAUUGCAUCUUGAACAGUAGAUCAAGUCAGAAGUCAAAAAUUAUUUUCUUAGCCGAAAGUCUCUGGAAAGAGCUACCAUAGCGAGUGACAGUCUCGUAGGCGAAAAGAAAAUAACUUCGAGCAGUUUUCUUAAGUACGGCGGGACCCGUGAAAUCCUGUCGGAAAUUGCCAGGACCAUCUGGUAAGACUAAAUACUACUUCUCACCGAUAGUGAACUAGUACCGUGAGGGAAAGGUGAAAAGUCCCCCGAGAGGGGAGUGAAAUAGUACCUGAAACUGACAGCCCGUAUAAAAGUCGGAGCCCCUCACUAAUUUUGAGGUGAUCUAUUUUUUGUAGUCCGUGUAUUAAAAAGCAUGGGAUAACAUUAAAAUGAUUACGCCAGAAUUAGUGAGGGGUGACGGCGUGCCUUUUGUAGAAUGAGCCGACGAGUUAAUCUCAACAGCGAGGCUAAGCUUUUAAGAAAGCGGAGCCGUAGCGAAAGCGAGUGUGAAUAGCGCGACUUAGUUGUUGGGAUUAGACCCGAAACCGGGUGAUCUAAUUAUGGUCAGGCUGAAGCUGCCCUAAUAAGCAGUGGAGGGCCGCACCCACUUACGUUGAAAAGUGAGGGGAUGAACUGUGAUUAGCGGAGAAAUUCCAAUCGAACCCGGAGAUAGCUGGUUCUCUUCGAAAUAUAUUUAGGUAUAGCCUCGUGUGUUCGUUGAAGUGGUAGAGCUACUGAAUGGAUUCGGGCGGGAAACCGUACCGCGUCCAAUUAAACUCCGAAUACUUCAUACUCAAUAACACGGGAGUCAGUCUGUGACGGCUAAGCGCCAUGGUCGAGAGGGGAAAAACCCAGACCACCAAUUAAGGUCCCUAAAUUCUAGCUAAGUGUUAAAGGAAGUGGAGAUACAUAAACAACCAGGAGGUUGGCUUAGAAGCAGCCACCCUUUAAAGAAAGCGUAACAGCUCACUGGUCGACGUAUUUCCGCGCCGAAAAUUUAUCGGGGCUCAAGCUAGGUACCGAAGUUGUGGCUGCCGCUGCUUUGCAGCGGUGGAGUAGAAGAGCGUUCUGUUCGGCGGUGAAGCCUGACCGUGAGGUCUGGUGGAGCGGACAGAAGUGAGAAUGUCGGCACGAGUAACGUAACAACGCAGGUGAAAAACCUGCGCGCCGAAAACCUAAGGUUUCCUGGGCUAUGUUAAUCAUCUCAGGGUUAGUCGGUCCUAAGGCGAGGCCGUAAGGCGUAGUCGAUGGACAACAGGUUAAUAUUCCUGUACUACUGUUGAUUCGUCCCAAACUUUGUGCGUUCUACGCCGGAAAGGUUAUCCCUCACUUUCUCGAACUGAUUAUUUUGUUAAAAAUUAUUUACUCAGGUAAGUAGUUUAUCAAAAGAUUGAAAUUGGUUUUAGAAAGUGAGGGACAAACGUCUGGUUGCAGAUGCAUUAAGUUUAGCUAAGGGGUGACGCGGUUUGGUAGAUUGAGCGAGUAUAGGUUUGCUCGUCUAAACUUUUAGUAGGAUCUCUUUGGCAAAUCCGGGAGAUCGGUCUGGCGUAAGCUGGGCAACUGCGAGAAGUGAUAGAAAGCGUUUCGGCUUGCCGGAAUGCAAUUUGAUUGAUCUAAACUGACCGGAAAACCCUCUCUGCGAGAAUUAAUGGUAUCCGUACCACAAACCGACACGGGUAGGUAGGUCGAGUAGACUAAGGCGAUCGAGACAACCCUCUUUAAGGAACUCGGCAAAAAAGCGUCCGUAACUUCGGGAUAAGGACUGCCAGCCAGAUUUUAUUUAUUAAGGUUUGGUUGGCCUCAGCGAAAGAUUUUCAUGCGACUGUUUAGCAAAAACUUAGGUCUCUGCUAACUCGAAAGAGGAUGUAUAGGGACUGAUGCUUGCCCAAUGCCAGAAGGUCACGUAGAUUGGUUAUUCAGAUUUAUCUGGAAAAGCUGAAACAUUAAGCCCUGGUGAAUGGCGGCCGUAACUAU
rfam:Bacterium GW2011_GWB1_45_10 VE97_C0019, whole genome shotgun sequence.